CGAAGUGGGUGACUCUAGGCAUUCACUCGUUUCUCAUGCCGACCCUGUUAAGCACCCUCCCACCAGAACAUCUUCAGUUAAAAAUCGGAGCAGAGGAUCUGGUCUCCUAGUUCUGUCAUUUACGUGGGAGGACUCCAGGGAAAGUCCGACCUGUUCCUGCUGGAGGACUUCGGGUUCCGGAGCGUUCCCUCUACGGCCCUUCCCAGGCAGCUGACAGCCCAAGUCGGAAAGCUGUUGGAAGCUGUUGGCCCCWUGCGCUUCCGGGGCCUGUGGGGAGGGGCAAUGGCCUGAGUCCCGCCCCCUUCAGGGGCGGAGCCACGGAUAGGGACUGGCCUAAGCUGCCGCAGGUAAAGUAGUCCUGAAACGGGGAAUCUCUGGGCCUGGGGA